rnacentral:rRNA from 1 species
GUCAGAGGUGGAAGCAUGGCGACAUGUGGAGCUGACUGAUACUAAUCGAUCGAGGACUUAACCACA